UACAGAGGUCUCAAGCGUUGUUCGGAUUUAUUGGGCGUAAAGAGCUCGUAGGCGGUCUGUCGCGUCUGCUGUGAAAACUCAGGGCUUAACCCUGAGCUUGCAGUGGGUACGGGCAGACUAGAGUGCGGUAGGGGAGACUGGAAUUCCUGGUGUAGCGGUGAAAUGCGCAGAUAUCAGGAGGAACACCGGUGGCGAAGGCGGGGUCUCUGGGCCGUAACUGACGCGUGGAGGCGCGGAAAAGCCAGGGGAGCGAACGGG
rnacentral:rRNA from 1 species